UUUCUAUAUCUUCAAUCACUUAUAAAUUGUCAUGUUUGAGUUAUUAUUCAUAAAUUAGUUUAUAGGGUGGUCAGAAGCAUAUUGAUUUAUUAGUGCUAUUAAUCUAAUUAGGCACAGUAAUUAUUACAUUUAUUAUUUAAACUAUUCUCAGAAAAGCUUACGUCAACAAAAGUAAAGCAAAUUUCUUUGAUUAGGCUAAAUCAAGUGUGAUCUCAGGAAAGCUUCAAUACAAAGUAAAAUCAAUGGGCAACGUUGACGCGACAAUGCAAGGUGGUACAGGUGGUGCAGGCGGUCAGGGAGGUCAAGCUCCAGGUGCUGGGGGUGGCGGAGGAGGGAGUGGAGCCGGAAGCUCAGGUUCAGGUGGGGCGGGAGGAAAUGGUGGAAAUGUGCAAAGGAUUAUUACUCCACAAGCAUUUUUCCUAUGUCGCUGAUAAUUCGUUUUAUGAAACUGUAUUAUGAACUAUCUUCAUAUUUGUGAAAACCAAAUGAACGGAACAAAAUAACUGAAAUAUUAUAUUUACAUGCCAAUUUUUUCAUGUAUUUUAAACUUAAAGAUCAUGUAUGUUGUGUGAUUGACAUUGUUACUGUAUGUAUACCACACCUGCAAAAAAUUAUAUAUGUACAUAAUUAUGCAAAUAAAACAAUUUUCAAACAUCGAAGAAUAUGUAAAAUGUGUACUGUAAAUAUUUGUGCACAUUAUAUUUUAUCAAUAAAUUACAUGCAGUCAUUUCUUAUUGGAAAGUUUGACUUAGAAUUUAUAGAAAUUAAAUUUCCAAUUACCUCCCUUUAUUUACAUGAAAUGUUAAAUUGGGUAAUAUCUUUAGAAUUAAUGCUUAUUGGAACUUACAAUAUUGACAAAUCGUAAUUUGAGCAUCAUAUUUAUGAAAUAAAACUAUGAAAAAAUUGUGUUACAGGAUCUUUAAUAUUGCUUUCUUAUGAAAGUUUCGUCCUAAAUAUAACGUACUCAAUAUGUCACCAAAGUAAGUGUUAUAUUUUAUUUAUUGUACGAUUUAUGACAAAAAAUGUUAUUGUUAAUUUGUGCAAAUAUAUGAAAGAGGCAUUUGUUAUUCGAAAUUCAUUUAUAAAUAAUAUAACCUAAUGCGAGGUAGUAUACUUUUUACCUUACUGUCUUUGUUAUACAUGUAUGUAGCAUAUGUAAAUAUAUGUUAAAGUGCACUUUUGUAAUACGUUCUAGAUAUGUGACAUGUUUAACAUUGAUGUUUAUGUAUUAAGAUGAUAUACUUAUGUAUAAAUCUAAUAAAAUGUC